AUUGAACGCUGGCGGCAGGCCUAACACAUGCAAGUCGAACGAGUGGCGGACGGGUGAGUAAUGUCUGGGAAACUGCCUGAUGGCUGGGGAUAACUACUGGAAACGGUAGCUAAUACCGCAUACCAUCGGAUGUGCCCAGAUUGGAUUAGCUAGUAGGUGGGGUAAAGGCUCACCUAGGCGACGAUCCCUAGCUGGUCUGAGAGGAUGAACGGCCAAACUGGGACUGAGACACGGCCAAGACGCCUACGGGAGGCAGCAGUGGGGAAUAUUGCACAAUGGGCGCAAGCCUGAUGCGGCCAUGCCGCGUGUAUGAAGAAGGCCCUAGGUUUGUAAAGUACUUUCAGUCGGGAGGCGUUACCGACAGAAGAAGCACCGGCUAACUCCGUGCCAGCAGCCGCAGUAAUAC
rnacentral:rRNA from 1 species